rnacentral:rRNA from 1 species
UACGUAGGGGGCAAGCGUUGUCCGGAAUCACUGGGCGUAAAGGGCGCGUAGGCGGCGCGAGCAGUCGGCGGUGAAAGCCCGGAGCUCAACUCCGGGUCGGCCGUCGAUACUCUCGUGCUUGAGCACUGUAGAGGCAGGUGGAAUUCCAGGUGUAGCGGUGAAAUGCGUAGAUAUCUGGAGGAACACCGGUGGCGAAGGCGGCAUCCUGGACCGACACUGACGCUGAGGAGCGAAAGCCAGGGGAGCAAAGCGGG